AUACUCUGGUUUCUCUUCAGAUCGUGUAAAUCUUUCACCUUUUACUAAAGAUUUCCGUGGAGAGGAACACUAAAUUUGAGUCUACAACCUUUGGAAGAGGGGGCAGGCCUCUCA
rnacentral:snRNA from 1 species